rnacentral:rRNA from 1 species
CCUACGGGAGGCAGCAGUAAGGAAUAUUGGUCAAUGGACGCAAGUCUGAACCAGCCAUGCCGCGUGCAGGAUGAAGGCCCUCUGGGUUGUAAACUGCUUUUAUAGGGGACGAAAAAGGGACUUUCUAGUUCAACUGACGGUACCCUAGGAAUAAGCACCGGCUAACUCCGUGCCAGCAGCCGCGGUAAUACGGAGGGUGCAAGCGUUAUCCGGAUUUACUGGGUUUAAAGGGUGCGUAGGUGGGUCGGUAAGUCAGCGGUGAAAUCUUCAAGCUUAACUUGGAAACUGCCAUUGAUACUAUCGAUCUUGAAUCAUCUGGAGGUAAGCGGAAUAUGUCAUGUAGCGGUGAAAUGCUUAGAUAUGACAUAGAACACCAAUUGCGAAGGCAGCUUACUACGGAUGUAUUGACACUGAGGCACGAAAGCGUGGGGAUCAAACAGGAUUAGAUACCCUGGUAGUCCACGCCCUAAACGAUGGAUACUCGACAUACGUGAUAUACUAUGUGUGUCUGAGCGAAAGCAUUAAGUAUCCCACCUGGGAAGUACGAUCGCAGAUUGAAACUCAAAUGAAAUUGACGG